AAAUAAACAGGACAGUCGUUUCGCGCUAGUUUUUAUACGUUCAGUUGUUUACAUUUUUUCUUACAAAAAAGAAUGUUUCUUUCAGUGUUUCUAGUGUGUUAAAUUUAAUAAUACUCUAACACUUUGUUCUACAGUGAUGUAUGUUCCAGCUGGUAACAGUGAAUUUAUGAAGAAAAUAAGAAAAUAAGGACUUUGGUCGCCCAGGAAGAAAGUGGUUUUAAAGAUAAUGAUUGAACUGAUUCUAAAAAUGAGCCAUCCAGUAUUGGUGAAAUCGUCUCCUUCAAGCAUUCCUGGUUUCAAAAUCAGCAUCAAGGCCAAAGAGUCAGAGAUAAUGAUGAUGAUGAUGAUGACGAAGAAGCUGGCUUUGAACCUUCGAGUUCUGACGGUGCGGAAAUGGACUUGGCUACAGGCACAUCUUGUUUCAAGAACAGACAAGAAAGGGCAAGCUUAAAGGAUGACGAUGGGAGUGUUUCUAGAAAUGAGCCAUCCAGUUGUACUGAAAACAACUCCUCUUCAAGCUCUCCUGGUUCCAAAAUGAGCACCAAUAGCCAAAGUACAGAGGUGGGUCUGAAUAUAAUAUUUAAUGAGGUCAAAGAUCACGAUAAUUUGGCCUGAUGAGCUGGCUUUGCAGACCUUCAAGACAUUUCUGGUCAUUAUUUCCUCCAUGUCUUUGAUUCAUAUUUGUGUUACCUUUACAAUAGACUAUGGAUACCUCUGUCUGUAUGCAUUCAGUUGAGUAAAUAGCAUUCUACUGCGUGUGUGUGUUGCUGGUACCUCACAGCGUUUCAAAAUUUCCAGAUAUCAAUCCUUUCAGUUAAAGAUUUCAGUGAAUACCUCUAUCCGUAUGUAAUGUGCUUCUAAUGUGUGUUUGUGUGCCUUGUACCUCACAAUGUC